UACGUAGGGACCAAGCGUUGUUCGGAUUUACUGGGCGUAAAGGGCGCGUAGGCGGCAAUUCAAGUCAUCUGUGAAAUCUCCGGGCUUAACUCGGAACGGUCAGAUGAUACUGCUUUGCUAGAGUGCGGAAGGGGCAAUCGGAAUUCUUGGUGUAGCGGUGAAAUGCGUAGAUAUCAAGAGGAACACCUGAGGUGAAGACGGGUUGCUGGGCCGACACUGACGCUGAUGCGCGAAGGCCAGGGGAGCAAACGGG
rnacentral:rRNA from 1 species